rnacentral:rRNA from 1 species
UACAGAAGGUCUCAAGCGUUGUUCGGAUUCAUUGGGCGUAAAGGGUGCGUAGGUGGCGCUGUAAGUCGGGUGUGAAAUUUCGGAGCUUAACUCCGAAACUGCAUUCGAUACUGCGGUGCUUGAGGACUGGAGAGGAGACUGGAAUUCAUGGUGUAGCAGUGAAAUGCGUAGAAGAUCAUGAGGAAGACCAGUGGCGAAGGCGGGUCUCUGGACAGUUCCUGACACUGAGGCACGAAGGCCAGGGGAGCAAACGGG